GAUGUCCAAAUGAUCGUGGACCUCUUUGGGAUGGAUUUCACUGAGGAUAUGGCUCACCUUGUCCCAUAAGGUUUCUGAUCCCAGAAGCGCCGCCUGCUUUGCCAGUUUAUCAACCCUGCUAUUUAGCACCCAGACUUCUGCCUGGUUCCGCCGAUGAGCACGGACCUUGAAAAGAGGAGCAUGUAUAGCUGCUUGGCGAUCUUGGAGUACCGGUGAAUAAAGUCUCUUGAGAAUCCAACCAAUCCCAAGAACGACUGCAGUGUGCUGACAUCCAUAGGCACAGAUUGAGAUUGUUGAACCCAGGACCUUCAACUGUCCCUGGCCAGGCUCAGUCCAAGGAAGGAGUUCCUGGAUCGGCGGUGCUGGAACCUGGACCCACAAAUGGAGGAUGGAUCAGGAACCAGGAUACUACAGGUAAGGUGCAGGUAAGAUGAUGAUGUUGCCCUCAGGAUCUGAUGAAUCUUGGUCUGUCACCCAC